AUGCGUCCAGUGGCUGAGGUGGGUGGAAGUGCCUGGAAAUACCCUGAAAAAGCUUUAGAAGCGUGUCAGUGUCUGGGCUUGAAAUUUUGGAUUGUUGAGAAUAGUCUUCUUUUUCUUUUUCUUUUUCUUUUUCUUUUUCUUUUUCUUUUUCUUUUUCUUUUUCUUUUUCUUUUUCUUUUUCUUUUUCUUUUUCUUUUUCUUUUUCUUUUUCUUUUUCUUUUUCUUUUUCUUUUUCUUUUUCUUUUUCUUUUUCUUUUUCUUCUUUUCCUUUUCCUUUUCCUUCUUUCUUCUUCUCCUUCUUCUUCUUCUUCUCCUUCUUCUCCUUCUUCUCCUUCUUCUCCUUCUUCUUCUUCUUCUUCUUCUUCUUCUUUUUCCUUCUUCUUCUCUCUCUCUCUCUCUUUCAAAAUAUUUUGCCUAAGGCUGAAAACUGGAAUGUUUUUUAGAAUAUAUAAACCGACUUCCUUGCUUCACUUUGUCAGCCCGUUAGCACAGGCAGAGCAGCUGAUGGCUCCCUUUAUAAGAGGCAGCUGGUCCCAGGGGGGUUUGAUCUCCCCAUACAGCUCUGGGAAUUCGCCGUUGGCAUCCAUCCCCUCGGUGGCAGCCCCGGUUUUAAUCGGUGUGUCCCAAACACCGGGGGACAUUGCUGUGCAAGGAAUGGGGCCUCGGACUGGUCCCCCCCAGGCUUUCAGCCUGUCCCCGUCCUACCCACCAGCAGCUCAGAGGGGUGCCCGUAGCAUCAGGAGCCACCCCAAAAAGCAGCCCCAUGUCUCGAGGCUGUUCGUGACCCGGGGUGAGGACCCCAAAUGUCCUCGUCACAGCAGCUGGAGCAGAGAUGGGCAGACCCUGGGCUCCUGCCGGCCCUUCGGCUGCUGGCUGGAGUUCAGGGCUUUGAAACUGAAGCCCCGAGCUGUGGGGUGCCCCCACCCCAUCCCUCGCCCACCCUUCCCUCCUCCUCAGCCCGGGUCCCAGCAGAGGAGGAAACCUGAGCCCACGGCUAAAGGCAUCCCAAGCAUCGCCCGCGCUGCGGACACCGAGCCCUUGGGUCCCCAGGGCAGGGCUGCAGGGAAUGCAGCGCCUUUGUCACCGGCUAAAUUUGGCUCCUCUGCGGCAGAGAACAAUCCCAGGCGGAGGAGAGAUGCUGGAGGCACGGCCCCGCGGGGCUUUUUGCCUUAUAAAGGGCUGCAGCGCAGGGGGCAGAUCCAGCGCUGGACCUCUGCGUGCUGGGACCAGAGCAGGUGA
rnacentral:lncRNA from 1 species